rnacentral:lncRNA from 1 species
GGGGAACCCUAACUCUGCACCUUCCAGAGCACGCCAGCUUAACACAUCUAGGAAAGGGUUAUACUUCAGAGAUGAUGCAAAGUAAACCCGACCGCCUGUACUUUCUCAGCAGAGUCAUGUGCAGGUACAGAAGGCAUCUGUUAUUAAAUGUUCAGUCACGUAAGUUAACUCAAGCCGCAGCAUUUAAUUUAGAAGGAAAUUGGGUUGGGUCUGAAUAAUUGAAGAUAAGUGGAGAAACAUUUUAGUAGACCUCAGUAAUUUGCCUCUUUGUUCCCAGGCCAUUAGCGCUCACUCUUGUUGGAUGCAUCGUGACCGCUGGAUGAACUGGUGAUAAAAUAAGGUGUUCUGAUCAAGACAAUGGCCCCCACUCCGUUGGCUGCAAUAACAGUAGACUCACCUUUGCCGCCACCAGCACUUCUAUCUGUGUGGUACAGUAUCUGUUUGCUACUGUUAUUUCCACAUUACAUGGUCCCUCCAUCUUCAGCAGAUGACUCUCCACCCACCCUGC